ACGCUCGACACCUACUGGAGGCAGCAGUGAGGGAUAUUGGUCAAUGGGGGAAACCCUGAACCAGCAACGCCGCGUGAGGGAUGACGGUCUUCGGAUUGUAAACCUCUGUCCUCUGUGAAGAUAAUGACGGUAGCAGAGGAGGAAGCUCCGGCUAACUACGUGCCAGCAGCCGCGGUAAUCUGAGCGGGCUGGCAAGGC
rnacentral:rRNA from 1 species